AUUGAACGCUGGCGGCAUGCUUUACACAUGCAAGUCGAACGGUAACAGGGAGCUUGCACCGCUGACGAGUGGCGAACGGGUGAGUAAUGCGUCGGAACGUGCCGAGUAGUGGGGGAUAACGCAGCGAAAGUUGUGCUAAUACCGCAUACGUACUGAGGUAGAAAGUGGGGGACCUUCGGGCCUCACGCUAUUCGAGCGGCCGACGUCUGAUUAGCUAGUAGGUGAGGUAAAGGCUCACCUAGGCGACGAUCAGUAGCGGGUCUGAGAGGAUGAUCCGCCACACUGGGACUGAGACACGGCCCAGACUCCUACGGGAGGCAGCAGUGGGGAAUUUUGGACAAUGGGCGAAAGCCUGAUCCAGCCAUGCCGCGUGUCUGAAGAAGGCCUUCGGGUUGUAAAGGACUUUUGUCAGGGAGGAAAUCCCUAGCGUUAAUACCGCUGGGGGAUGACAGUACCUGAAGAAUAAGCACCGGCUAACUACGUGCCAGCCGCCGCAGUAAUAC
rnacentral:rRNA from 1 species